UGUUGGUCCAGGUAGCUGCCUUCGCCAUGGAUGUUCCUCCUGAUCUCUACGCAUUUCACUGCUACACCAGGAAUUCCGCUACCCUCUACCACACUCUAGUCGCCCAGUAUCCACUGCAGUUCCCAGGUUGAGCCCAGGGCUUUCACAACGGACUUAAACGACCACCUACGCACGCUUUACGCCCAGUAAUUCCGAGUAACGCUUGCACCCUUCGUAUUACCGCGGCUGCUGGCACGAAGUUAGCCGGUGCUUAUUCUUUGGGUACCGUCAUCCCAACCGGGUAUUAGCCAGCUGGAUUUCUUUCCCAACAAAAGGGCUUUACAACCCGAAGGCCUUCUUCACCCACGCGGUAUGGCUGGAUCAGGCUUGCGCCCAUUGUCCAAUAUUCCCCACUGCUGCCUCCCGUAGGAGUCUGGACCGUGUCUCAGUUCCAGUGUGGCUGAUCAUCCUCUCAGACCAGCUACGGAUCGUCGCCUUGGUGGGCCUUUACCCCGCCAACUAGCUAAUCCGACAUCGGCUCAUUCAAUCGCGCAAGGUCCGAAGAUCCCCUGCUUUCACCCGUAGGUCGUAUGCGGUAUUAGCGUAAGUUUCCCUACGUUAUCCCCCACGACAGAGUAGAUUCCGAUGUAUUCCUCACCCGUCCGCCACUCGCCACCCAAGGAGCAAGCUCCUCUGUGCUGCCGUUCGACUUGCAUGUGUUAGGCCUACC
rnacentral:rRNA from 1 species